rnacentral:lncRNA from 1 species
GGUGUACGAGGAGCGUGAUUUGCUCGUACCCGUUGACUGCGCCCACUUAUUGGGCCCCAGUUUGGUCUUGGAUUGGGCCUGCUUCAAAUUUCUCCACGUAGUUCUUAACUUUAUUUUGCGUAACCUAAUUUAUAUUUUAAUAAUUUAAUUUUAAAAAAAUUACAAUUUUAAUCACUAGCCCAUUACGUUGCUAAUGGAGGUCAAAUAUAGGGCAUGUAAAUUUAUAAUUUGAACACUCAAUUAUUAAUAAAUUUAUAUUUUAGUCAUUUAAUUUUAAAAAGUUACAAUUUAAUCAUUAAACUAUUAUUAAGUUCAUAGUAUGGUCACUCAAACUUUGCACUAUUAUUCUUUAACCCGAUAAUCUAAACAAUGUCAAAAAAUCAAACCCAAAACCUUAGCAAAGCCACUAUCAACCCAUGUUUCACCUCUGGUCCAACCAACUUGACCACCCUUUAUUUUUAACACACUUAUCGUUUCCUUUUAAGCUAAAACCAAGGCCCACUAAAAUUCACAAUUAAGCUAUUCACACACCUUACCUUAAACCAAUAAUUAAAUUGCGCCAAAACCAUUAUCAAAGUAAACAAAAAGAACCCAACAAAGCAAAUAAAAAUUUGAAAAAAGUCACAUGUUUCAAAAAGACCCAAACAAGUCUUAUAUGAGCAACGGGACAAAAUAAAAUGAGUGAAAAGAGAAUCAAAAUAUUUAAAAAAGAAAACUCAAGUGUACUAGAUUCAAUUAGAAGUUAGUCGAAGAGUUUCAAGAGACAAAUGCUCAAUCUAAAAGGUUAAAGAGAAAGUAUCGCUAAGAAGAGGAACAUGUUAGAGUUAGACAACCAUCCGAUGACGGUUGGAUGGAAAUCAAAGAGCUUAUUAAUUAAGGCUUUGUGUUUAAAUCAACGAAGUUUCUAGAUAUUUCAAAGAAAAUUAAACCAUAAAGUUGAAAGAUAAGGGAAAAACUUUGGUCUAAUGUGUUUCUUUGUUAGAGCGUGAUUUGUUAUGCCCUAUUGAUCGCGCCCAUUUAUUGGACCUUUGAAAAAAUAGGUUCAAUUUGGGCUUGCUUCAAAUUUCUCCACUCAAUUCUUGACUUUAUUUGAGUAAGUGACAAUCAAUAUCACUCAAUGACUAGUAAGUUUAUAUUUUGGUCACUCAAUUUUAAAAAGUUACAAAUUGGUCACUGAACUAUUCGAAAGUUACAAGUUGAUUACUAGCCUACUAAGUUGCUAGUGAAUGUCUAAUGUGGGUACAAAUAAAUUUAUCAUUUGGUCACUUAAUUAUUGGAAGUCUAAAAUUUGGUCACUCAUUUCUAAAAAGUUACAAGUUGGUCAUUGAACUAUUAUUAAGUUCACACCAUGGCCUCUCAAUCUUUGCACCAUUACUCUCUAGCACAAUAAUCCAAACAACAUCAAUAACUGAAGCCCUAAGCACUAGCAAAGCCAUUGUCAACCCAUGUUUCACCUUUAACCCAACCAACUCCAACCACCCUUCAUUCUUAAUGCACUUACCAUCUUCGUUAAGCCAAAACCAAAACCUAAUAAAAUCCACAGUUAAGUUGUUCACACACUCUUACCUUAAACCAAUAACCAAAAAGCACCGAAACCACAAACAAAACAAACAAAAAAGUUUGAAAAAAGCAAAUAAAAAAAGAAGAAAGUCUAAGUUUCAAAAAACCCGAAACAUGACUUACAGUAGAAAAAAGAUAGAAUAAAAUGAGAGAAAAAAGAAUCAAAAUACUAAAAAGGAAACUCAAAUGUACUAGAUUCGUAUAUGAGUUAGUCAAAGAGUUUUAGGCGAUGAAGGUUUAAUCCAAAAGGUCAAGGAGAAAAUAUCGUUGAAAAUAGGAACAUAAUAGAGUUAGACGUCCAUCUUAUGACGCUAAUAGAUAUCAGAGAGCUUCUUUGUUAGGGCUUGGAGUUUAAAUGUAACACCUUGUUACGCAACUCGGCCGCUGAAGCAACCACAUUCAAAUCGUGUUUGAAAUAUGCAAUUUAUUGAUAAUAAAUCAACCAAUUAUACAAUCAACAUGAAAUACAAUCAUUUUGGGCCUUAGUACGAGCUUAUAGGAACUCUAAAGCUAAUUCAAAUUCGAAGAAUGACUAAAAUGAAAAGAUUCAAAAUGCAAGGCCGACAACGUGAUGUGAGGGAGUUCCCCGUCACGAUAUGACUCAUUGUCCAAUUCCAUCCCGACGACCUAAGAUUGGCAUCACAACGUGGUUUCCUCGUCAUAACGACAUUUGAACGACAUUACGAUGUCAUAUACUAUUUUGGCCAAAAAUGUACUAAAAUGCAUUCAAUAUUGUCCCAACAUUCAAUUUCUUAUUUCAUGCCUAAGUAAACAUAAAUUACAUGUAUUAGACAUUUCAAAACACUACUAAAACAUACAUAUAUGAUUCACAUUCAUUCUCCAAUACUUACCAAUUCAAAUACCAUUCAAACCUUUUACGGCAUGACACAACAUAUUCAACCAUACCAUUUAAAAAAAAAUCAACAAUACAUACAUGUCUCAAUGCUAACUUGCGCACACCUAAUAAAUUUUCCAACCAUUACUCAAAUCAUACUUAUAUUAUCAAUGUAUUAACUAUUAUCACAUAUAUUCAUACCAAUUCACCUAUUCAUAGCGUACCAUCUAACAAUUCACAUAUAUCCAAAUUUGAUCAAGAUACCGUUAACUUUUCAACUAUCAACCAUUCAAGCCAUUAUGCAUACUUAUCUAAUUCACACUUCAAGAACUUCAGUAUGCAUACAUAUGAUUUAUACCAUUAUCAAGAUUACACUAAACAUAUAUAUAAAAUGCAUCAAACACCAAUUCAUCCUCCAAGUUUAGUAGAAUAUAAACAAAUGACUCUCUUAUGCAUAUGUCAUUAAACUACAAGGAACAUCACCAACUCGCUGAAUCUGGGAUUACGGUUGAAUGUUGGAAAACAAAAUCGUCCUCUAAGUACAAUUCAGCUGUAUUGCUAUAUUCAAACAUUAGAACAUAAUAUAAAUCAUAUAAUACAAUGAACCAACAAACCAAAAAUUCGAAUGCAAGUUAACAUGUCAAUCUAGAAAUCCAAAUACAUCACUUGGUUAUAUAAUGAAUUUUUUUUUAUCUUAAAUCGAGCUAUCACAGUUGCAACAUAUACAUUUUUCAUAUAUCAAUCGAAUCGAUUAAAUUGUGCAAUAUCAAAUUCACAUUUCAGACUUAUAAUCCGAUAUCCGUCAUCCACCUUUAUUUCAAUUUCAUUUAUAAUAAAUUUCUUAAUUCCACAUAUGUAACAACUUAUUUCAUCACAAUACAGAUUCAAUUGCACAUUUAUAAUAAUAUACAAUAUUUUCAAAACUAUUCAUUUUAGUCCUUAUAGCUAGCAAUCAUUCCAAAUCAAUUCAAAUAAGCUCGUUUUAUCAUUUACAACGUACCUUAUGAUCUUACCAUGCAACACAAUUCAUAAAUGCAGCAAUUGAAAUGGUUUAGAUUAUAGAAAUACAAAUCAUAAACUCCGAGUUAUUCGUUGACGGCUUUAUCUUUUUCUCUUUUUUUUGAGGAAUUCGAGUGAACGUUAGCUAUAGAUUAACACAAACAUACCAAAUCAACCAUAUACAAAUAAUUUCACAUUCAAUUUCUACUUUAAGAAACUUUUUCAUUUUAUUCAAUUUAGUCUCUAAAAUCGGGACUAACAUAACUUUAAAUCUAGAACUCAAGUUUGCAGGCUGAUUUCACUAUAGUCCUAAAUGGACCUCCCAUUUCUCAUUUCUACCCAAAAUUUCAAAAUUUGUGCAUUUUAGUCCCUAUUGCACAAAACUGUAAAUUAACUUUACAAUUUAGUCCUUUUCACUAUUAAGCUUACAAUCUAUCAAUUUAGUACCUAAAACUUCAAGAAUUCAUCAAUGGCAUCUUUCAAAAACUUCAAAAGUUAUGAAAAUUAACAAACGAGUCAGCUAGGUUAAGCUCUCUAGAUUUAAAAAACAUAAAAAUUAUAUGAAAAAGACUAAAUUGCACUAAUCAAUUGAAGAUUUAUACUUUAAAACAGCUUGGCGGUGGGUUAAGAGUUUCUCCUUCUCCAAUUUCGGUUGAAAAGAUGAAAACAUUCAUGUUUUCUCUUUUUCCCACUUUCAUACUUAUGUUUUGUUUUAAUAAUUUAAUUUUAAUCUUUUUUUAUAUUAUAACUUAUACAUAUAUAUACAUUAAUCAUUUACCACCCACUAAUUCCAUUAUGGUAUAAUUAUCACAUUGGUCCUUAAUCUAAGUUUCCACUUUAAAAUGUAUAGUAAUUUAACCUUUACCACUUUUCACUAAUUUGAUAAAAUUACUUAUCCAAAAUUCAAUUCAUUUCUAAUAUAAUUUCAUAAAUAUUUAAUAAAAUUAUUUACAGUCUCGGUUUACGAAAAUAGAGUCUUGAAAUCAAAUUUUUUGAUGCCACUGACUUUCGAAUCGUUAUAUUAAAUCAACAGAGUUUUUGGAUAUUUCAAAGAAAAUUAAAUGAUAAAGUUGAAAGAUUAAGUAAAACUCCAUUUCAAUGUGUUUCUUUGUAGGAGGAGGAGGCCAGAUGAUGACAAGAUUAUUGGAAUACAAUUGUGAAGGAGGUCCCUAAAACUCUAAAACAUUUAAAUAGUACAAGGACCAACUUGUAACUUUUCUAAAGUUAAAUGACGAAAUUGUAAAAUUUCUAAUAAUUGAGUGAUUUUGAGUAUAGUUUACCCCAUGAUGAAUAGUAAGUUUGUAACGUCCCCUAACCUUAUACCGUCGUCGGAACAGGGUUACGAAACAUUACCAGUCAGUACAGUCCAAUUUCAGUCAUUAAUUAAAAUAAAUAUUCAUACUCUUCCUAGUUUUAAGAUGUCGUCCCUUUAAUGGGCCCUCGCGGUCCAAUAUGGACUAAUAAAUUCAAUUUGGAACUAAUUUAGAAUCAAUACGAAAUUUUUUUUUAUAUUUCAAAAUUCAUACUAUAUACCGUUGCCAACCAUAAUUUACUUAUUUCAUCAAUACUUUUACAACUUAAAUUACUCUCAUUAAACAUCCUAGGUACAUGCCAUUAUCAAUACUCAAUGUACUUUACCUCAUUGAAUUCGGGAUCGGCCUGAAAUGCUGAUUCGACAGUCUAGCCUUAACUUAACCUGCGCACGGAAACAAACCGUACGCUGAGUAUACACUCAGUGGUAUUUCUAUAAUCCGAACACUUGAUAAUAUAACAAUUAAACUUAAAAUCACAAUAACAAAUAUAACUAUUCAUUUAUUUAUUUUAUAGAUAAGUUUCAUUUACUUACCAUAAAAAUUCUAUACAAGCCAUAUAACAAACACAACAACAUAUUUGCUCAAUUCUUUUCAUUUGCUUACUGUAUAAAUUCUUUACAAUAUAUUCACAAUUCAUUUGUAUUCACACUUUACUUCUUAACAAUAUACCAUUUUAAUUCAUUCUAACAUCAAUCAUCAUCCAUUUGAACUUCACUCAUUUCAUGAACCUUUUGGUUCAUGUUUUCAAUCUCAUAUCUCAAUUUCAAUUCUCAAUUCAAUUUCUCAUUUCAUUCCAAUAGCUCAAUCAAUCAAAUCCACUCGAUUUAUCUUUUCACUUAUUUACCCCUAUUAACAAGACUCGGACUCUGAUAGAUACGUGGAUUCCUCCCAAACACACCAGAAUAUCCAACCCAAACACACCCGGAAUAUCCAACCCAAACACACCCGGAAUAUUAUAAAUCCUCCAUAACACACCAGUAUAUCAUAUCCUCCCAAACACACCAAUAAGGCAUUAAAUGCCUCUUCAGAUAAACCGAAGUAUAUAAUAACAGAAACAUCUUCUCGGCCGAACUACAAAUCUCCUCAUCACAUCAUAAAUCCAAUGGCAUGCCAUUUGUAUCCAAUCUGGUCCGAUACUGUUAAUAGGGUAUUCGAUUCACUUUCUCAAUUUAAUAAAUCUUUCAUCAAUAUACCAUUCUAAUAAUCACAUAUAUUCACACAUUUUCAUAAUUUCAUAUAUUUUCAUUCAAUUCAACAAAUAUAUUUCAAUUAUUCACAUUAAUUCAUAAUUCAAUACAACUCAAUUCACUUUUCAAUAUCAAAUAUUCAAUUAUCACAAAUCUCAUAUAUUCAUAUCAAUUCCCUCAUAUUCCAAUCAAUAUAAUUUUUCAAUAUAACAUUCAUUCAAUAUUCAAAUUUUUACAUAAAUCAUAUAUAUAAUAUAUAUUUCAAUCAAUAUAAAUUCAAUCAAAAUGAUUUCAAUCAAUAUAAAUUUGAUAAAUUCAUCACAUGCCAAAAUCAAUCCAUUUCGAUUGUAAACCAUCAUAAUUCUAACACUAACAAUUGUCAUAUGUAUAUAAAUAUAACAAAUAAUGACUGAGUUCGGAUUAUAGAAAUACAAACCGUAAUUUUCGAGCUAACUCCCGUCGACUUUGUCUUGUCCUUCCUUAGCCGAGAUUUUUGGUACCACAUUGACUACGAAAUUAAUACAAUUCAUAAUCAUUAAUACAUUACUAAUUUAUAUCUUGAGUUACAGAAUUCUAAAUUAAGAUCUGUUAAUUUUUCCUGAAACUAGACUCACAAAUAUUCUUACCAUAAAAUUUUCAGAAUUUUUGGUUUAGCCAUUAAGUACAGUUUAUUCUUUAAAUUCACCCCUAUUCUGCUGUCUGACAGUUUCGAGCUUUCUUCACUAAAAAUUAAUUAUCUCACAGUACAGAACUCGGAUAAUAUUCCCGUUGAUUUCUCCUAAAAAUAGACUCAUUAGGGAUUAUAAAAAUAUAACUUUAACCCUCUAAAUUAUUUUUCUCCAAUUUUUGGUGAUUUUCCAAAUUUAGAACAGGGGAACCCGAAUUCAUUCUGACCUUGUCUCACAAAAUUCAUUAUAUCUCAUAAUUUACAAUCCAACUGCUUAAACCGUUUCUUUUAUAAGAAACUAGACUCAAUAAUAUUUAAUUCCAUAUUUUAUUCAUCCUCUAAUUCAAUUUAUACAAUUUUUGGUGAUUUUUCAAACUUAGACUACUGCUGCUGUCCAAAAUAGUCUUAGUGCAAAAUGUUGAUUUUCUACUUUUAAUUUCAAUUUAAUCCUAACUAAAUUCACUUACUUUUCUAUCUUAAUUCAUACUUUAUUUCUACUCAAUUUUUAACCAAACUUAGACAUAAUUAUCUAUUUUUCAUCAUAAAACCAAAAUUUCGAAAUUCUUUCAAUUUAGUCCUUAAAGCAUAAAACUUAUGAAUCACUUUACAAUUCAAUCCUUAUUUCAUCUCUAACUUGAAUUUCUAUCAAUUUAGCCUUUAAUUCAUCAUUUUAGUCAACAUGAACAAUAUUUAUAAAUCUAAUAACUUUCAAAAUAUCAACUUAAUUUCAUCAAAACUUUGUUCUAAAGCUUUUAAAAUAUCAAAAUUAAGUAAAAAUGGCUAAAUUGACAUACCUAUUAAAGUUUAAAGCUUCAAAACCUUGAUUUUCCCUUUUCUCCCUUUCUUUCUUUCUUUCCUUUCUUUCUCCCCUGUUCUUCUCUGUUUCGUUUGCUUUGUUUUUCUUUUUCAUUUCUUUUAUUUCAUUUAUUUCU